GGGCUCGCAGGCGGUUUCUUAAGUCUGAUGUGAAAGCCCCCGGCUCAACCGGGGAGGGUCAUUGGAAACUGGGGAACUUGAGUGCAGAAGAGGAGAGUGGAAUUCCACGUGUAGCGGUGAAAUGCGUAGAGAUGUGGAGGAACACCAGUGGCGAAGGCGACUCUCUGGUCUGUAACUGACGCUGAGGAGCGAAAGCGUGGGGAGCGAACAGGAUUAGAUACCCUGGUAGUCCACGCCGUAAACGAUGAGUGCUAAGUGUUAGGGGGUUUCCGCCCCUUAGUGCUGCAGCUAACGCAUUAAGCACUCCGCCUGGGGAGUACGGUCGCAAGACUGAAACUCAAAGGAAUUGACGGGGGCCCGCACAAGCGGUGGAGCAUGUGGUUUAAUUCGAAGCAACGCGAAGAACCUUACCAGGUCUUGACAUCCUCUGACAAUCCUAGAGAUAGGACGUCCCCUUCGGGGGCAGAGUGACAGGUGGUGCAUGGUUGUCGUCAGCUCGUGUCGUGAGAUGUUGGGUUAAGUCCCGCAACGAGCGCAACCCUUGAUCUUAGUUGCCAGCAUUCAGUUGGGCACUCUA
rnacentral:rRNA from 2 species